AUUUCCUGUAAUUAACAAAAGAUAUUUUAUUCCACAGAAUGGAAUACCUGGAGUAAUAGAGAAUUCACUACAUAAUUAUCCUGCUUUCCUGGAGUGACUCACACCUAGUCUUUGCUCAUAAGUGGGGGCAAGAGUACUCUUCAUUUGUUGGAAAAAUUUGAUGGCCUCUUUGCAAUGCAAGGAGAUUUUUUUCUACGUAAACAACAAGUUAAAACGAGGUUAUGUUCUCUAACAUUUAACUAACGAAGUCUUGAAGGACAAUAAUCAUCGUUAGCACCGGAUUAUAGGGAAUUAUGGCGAUAUAAGUCACGUUUUACCUCCCCAAAUCUGGUUAUGGGCCGAAUCAUCACAGUUUCCAGCAAAAUAUGACAAAAACCAUAACUUAAUUUUUUUCGUCCUGAAGAACAGCUGAGGGUGGAGACAAAGAAUUCGAAAAAAUGGUUGUCUAGUAUAUCCCCUUUGAUAUAACUACAAAAAAAACGUUAUUGAGUUCACAAAGACCUGAGAAUCACAAAGGCCAGAAAAGGAGUCCCGAACGGCACAAGGUUCUCAUGUAAAAAAAAAAUGUAUAUAUAUAUAUGUACAUAUAUAUAAAAAUCAAUUGCCGAAAAUUCGGCGCCAUCGGGAUCUCGUUUCUCGAUCAGAGAAAGUGUUCUUCAACAAUCAAGAGUCCGUUGUGCUCCCCCUCUGGCGUCACAUCAUUUGUGCACCUUGAGAACUCGAGGAAAAAUGUUAGACUAAUACACGAGUUGAGAAAUUCCGAAGGUUGGUGGAAACCUUGUAAAAGUAACAGUGGUUGCGUGGGCUGUGAUGUCAACAGCUGAGCGUCAUGAUCAGGCUUGGCUGGUUGAGACGCUGAGUGUGGGAUAAUUCAGGAUAAUUUGCGUUUCACGGAAGAAAUUAAAAUGAAAUAAUCAUUGAGAUGGGAAUGUCGCAUCUUCUGCGUCGUCAAAAAUAAUUUAACUGACUAGAGAACAACAUUUCAAGUAAAAAUGACAAAACAAAUUAAUUAAGGAAUAGUUGCAGGCAAUUGACACCUCAAAUUAAUGAACUUCUGGGGUAUUGUUUUAGUUUAUUAAAUGUUGAUAAGUAAAAAAAUAUUCAUCAGGUGAGUAUGCUCGACCAGUAAGACGAUCUGGGCUAAUGAAAAAUCAUUCUAGACCUGGUAAAAAGGCCUCUGAGAUAAAAAAAAAAUAUAUUGAAUGUCAUUCAGCAACUCCAAAGAUAUUAAGUAUUAAACGUUAUUCCUAUGCCUUUAUCUAGCGCCAACUAUGAUGUGUCGUUUUAUUUCAAAAGCCUGGGGAACGUGAGUUACAACAUCUGUCACUCUCUUCCGACUCAACGAACCGAUUUAAAUGAAUCAAAAUUCACCUUAAAGUCUAAAAAAGUACCUCCGAAACGAAAGAAAAAAUAUUGAUGUUCACUCAGAGGGUCCGAAGAUAUUGAACAUUGGAAAAAACCCCAUUCUCCUUUGUCCAAUGUCAACAACUCUACUGCGCACAACAAAGAGGCGUCCAUACAUUUAUGAGUGUUCCUUUCGCAUUUUAAUAUUCAAUCCAAUUUAUCAAACUGAUAUCUAAUAAAUAACAAUCAUUAUUUUCUCGAAUCAUUCCUUGCCAACAUCACUAAUUAAAUGAAAGCCAAACUGAUAAGCAAUGGUGACGCGAGGACAAGCGUCAAUAUUAUUCGACCCAACGAUGGGAUUUCAACAAAUCAUAAUUAUUUUAAAGCCUAUUAAAUUACCUUCAAAACGCACGAAAAAAUAUUGAAGUGCACUCAGCAGUUCCGAAGAUAUUGAACAUUGAAAAUCAUGAACGUUUUCUUUGUUCAAUGUCAACAGUUGUGCUACGCGCAAUAACAUGAUUUUCUCAAAAAAUCAUAUCCACCCAUUGAAAUUCCACAUUCCUCGACCUGCCCCUCCCCCCUCACUUAUUGUUCAUGCAGAUGAUAAAAUGUCCACUCACCUCAACAAUAUGUAGUAAACACCAGCAGAGCAGACCAGAAAACAGUGUGCUCUGUCCAACAGUCGAAGCGUUUGUGAAUCGAGACAAUUGGGGGGCACCUAAAUACCGACUCUCUUGUUCGACCCUUCGAUUCGAGACUCGAGCGCUGCUCCGUGACACUGGAUAUUCACUAACUCUUCACUAUACGUCUGUUGACGCGUGGAUGAAACUCGACCGCUUCCUGAAACUCUUGGCACAUGAUCCGCCACCACAUGCAAUGACACAUUCAGGCGUAAAAUUAUAUUGCACAUGCUCCAGACUGAGCUAGCAAAGGGACACUUCCUCCCUUUACCAUUAGAAUUUCUUAUUGAAAAAUAAAUUUUUCUCACCGGCUGGAUGAAAAUUCUCGUGCGAUGCUUCUCGACGUCUGGUUUGAGUCCCUCAAUCGCUUCAAGGAGGCUUGGGUCAGCAUCCAGGAAAUGGGGCAGUGAGACGGCUGCGGGGAUAUCUACGAAUUUCGAGAAGGAAAUUACAAUCAGGAUUGAACGCAUGAGAACAUAUAACAUGAAAAAUAGAAAAUUAACAAUUAAAUCUGUUCGAUUAUGCUACUUGUCUAUAUCUAUCGAAAAUUUCAGUAUUGAUCUUGUAUUUCUAUUUUUAUUCAUUACAAAAUGGUGAUAGAAAUAAAUUAACCAAUUCGUUUCCAAGAAUUUCGAUGGAACACUUGGAAAUCGGAUGCAUUAAUUUUCGACAAUCAUGUACGAACAUGAAACCGUCAAGAA